rnacentral:lncRNA from 1 species
AGAAAUCUAACACGCCGACUUUUGUUUUAUGGUUAUUGGCCAAACGUCUCUUCUUCUGGAGCUGCUUCAAGCUGACAGAGAGGCGAAGGCGUUGCCUGCUGUCUGAGAUGGGAGUGAUCACUGCAGUCCACCCCACGGCUCACACAAGAAUCAAGGUUAUCUGGACACAUGGAACAGAGAAGUGUGGCAAGAAUUAGCAGUUAGUGGAACACUUGGCACAGUCUUCCCAUUGGAGGUGCACCCGGGG